rnacentral:misc_RNA from 1 species
CAUUCUGAUGUAGUGACUGUUUUAAUGCUUACUCGAAUAAGUUAAUUCACAAUACUACGAACAAGUCUCAUACGAAUGGUUUUCUACAAAAUUUAUCACGACUAUUCGAUGCAACGAGAAGAUCGAUUCGAAGCAAUAUUGGAACUCUGAUUUGUAAAACGGAGGAAUGCUGAACAAUAGAAAACGGUCCUAUGAUAGAAUUUAAUCAAACAUUAGCCUGAUACGUUUUAUUGGAUCCCAUCCUAUCGUCUAUCUAACGUUAUGGAAAAAGCUAUAGAGCUACGGGGAGCUUACUGGAGAUGAAAACAUCGCCGACACCACGCAUGGGACUGGAAACAACGAUGGCAGGAUAUUACUUGAAUAAGAAGGAAGAAAAGGACAAACCGGUCCAGACACUGCCAAGCUUGGAAAAAUUCAACGUCGAACAACUUUUCUAUUUAUCCCUUGUCCUCAUCAACUUCGUGAUCGAUCGGUGACAAUAUCUUCACAAAACGACACUGAGCACACUGAGUAGCGGCGACAGCAAUAGGCAGCAUGUGGCUCGAAUAUCCGUAACUUGGACCAGGAAGUUCUUCUGCACGUGGCAUACUCUUCAGAUUUAGCACCGAGAAAUUAUCACUUAUUCAAGUCGUAGGACUGCAGCACUCAUUAGCUAGGCAGCACUUUCAAAAUGUUGCAGAAAUAUAAUAAUGUCCAGUAUCAGCUUUUCGUGACCGAAUCCGAAAUUUGACAGAUCUGUUAUAAACUUUAUCAAUAUAUAUGCACAAUCAUGGUAACGAGUCUCGUAACAGUGCUAAUGGAAUUUUAAAAUGUUUCGUGUAACAUAUGAUGUAUUCAUAAAAGAUGUCUAUAUGCGAUCGAAUACUUCCAUGAGACUGUGUAUAUUUCCAAGGACUAAAAACAGUCAAACCAAAGUUGAGUGUACAUGCACCUUUUAAUUCCAUGAUUAGAGUUUUUUUGUUAAGAAAUGACCCGAAUACUUCCAUAAGCCUGUGUAUAUUUUCAAGGACUAAAAGCAAUCAAACCAAAGUUGAGUGUACAUGCACCUUUUAAUUCCAUGAUUAUAGUUUUCUUGUUAAGAAAUGACCCAGUUAACAGAUUAAUGGUUGUUUUUAAUAGCACUUUUUUGAACUUGAAAAAUUUCGACAAGAAUUUAACUAUACCGUAGGGAUAGAGCUCAAUGAAUUCGAAGAACAAUAGCUGGAAUUAAUUCGUUGUCACGAAUGAAUUUUAUUGGAUGACUCACAGUAGCACUAACACGUUCUUGGCUAGCAGAAUUAUUUCGCACUCGAUCAAUACCACCGAAUUAUCAGUUUUUCAAAUUACUGAAGUCGUCACUUUUUUAGUUUAUUAAUAUUUUCAUAAUAUACUUCACAAUAUUAU